rnacentral:rRNA from 1 species
UACGUAGGGCGCGAGCGUUGCCCGGAUUUAUUGGGCGUAAAGGGCGCGUAGGCGGUCACGCACGUCCGUUGUGAAAGCCCCCGGCUCAACUGGGGAGGGUCACGCGAUACUGAUCGACUCGAAGGCAGGAGAGGGAAGUGGAAUUCCCGGUGUAGUGGUGAAAUGCGUAGAUAUCGGGAGGAACACCAGUGGCGAAGGCGACUUCCUGGCCUGUUCUUGACGCUGAGGCGCGAAAGCUAGGGGAGCAAACAGG